rnacentral:ncRNA from 1 species
UCCACGUUUCUCCUCCCUGAACGUGCGCCUUGAUCCCUGAUUAAGGCUUUGCCCCUGGCCUUUAUCCCCUUUGGUCCAGGGGCAUUUUUUAU